rnacentral:rRNA from 1 species
UAUCAAUAAGCGGAGGAAAAGAAACCAACAGGGAUUGCCCCAGUAACGGCGAGUGAAGCGGCAACAGCUCAAAUUUGAAAUCUGGCCCCCAGGGCCCGAGUUGUAAUUUGCAGAGGAUGCUUUUGGCGAGGUGCCUUCCGAGUUCCCUGGAACGGGACGCCAUAGAGGGUGAGAGCCCCGUCUGGUUGGACACCGAGCCUCUGUAAAGCUCCUUCGACGAGUCGAGUAGUUUGGGAAUGCUGCUCUAAAUGGGAGGUAUAUGUCUUCUAAAGCUAAAUACCGGCCAGAGACCGAUAGCGCACAAGUAGAGUGAUCGAAAGAUGAAAAGCACUUUGAAAAGAGGGUUAAACAGUACGUGAAAUUGUUGAAAGGGAAGCGCUUGUGACCAGACUUGGGCCCGGUGAAUCAUCCAGCGUUCUCGCUGGUGCACUUUGCCGGGCCCAGGCCAGCAUCAGUUUGCCUCGGGGGAUAAAGGCUCUGGGAAUGUGGCUCCUCCGGGAGUGUUAUAGCCCGUUGCAUAAUGCCCUGGGGCGGACUGAGGUUCGCGCA